rnacentral:rRNA from 1 species
AGACGUCGGCGGGGGCCUCGGGAAGAGUUAUCUUUUCUGUUUAACAACCUGCCCACCCUGGAAACGGCUCAGCCGAAGGUAGGGUCCAACGGCUGGAAGAGCACCGUAUGUCGCGUGGUGUCCGGUGCGCCCCUGGCGGCCCUUGAAAAUCCGUAGGACCGAGUGCCAUUCACGCCCGGUUGUACUCAUAACCGCAUCAGGUCUCCAAGGUGAACAACCUCUGGUCAAUGGAACAAUGUAGGCAAGGGAAGUCGGCAAAAUGGAUCCGUAACCUCGGGAAAAUAAUUGGCUCUGAGGGUUGGGCACGGGGGUCCUGGUCCCGAACCCGUCGGCUGUCGAAGAACUGCUUGAGCUGCUUCCGCGGUGAGAGCGAGUUGUCGCGUGCCGGCCAGGGGACGGACCUGGAGCUCUCCUUUGGGGGCUUUCCCCGAGUGUCGAACAGUCGACUCAGAACUGGUACAGACAAGGAGAAUCCGACUGUUUAAUAAAAACAAAGCAUUGCGAUGGUCCCUGCGGAUGUUAACGCAAUGUGAUUUCUGCCCAGUGCUCUGAAUGUUAAAGUGAAGAAAUUCAAUCAAGCGCAGGUAAACGGUGGGAGUAACUAUGACUCUCUUAAGGUAGCCAAAUGCCUCAUCAUCUAAUUAGUGACGCGCAUGAAUGGAUUAACGAGAUUCCCACUGUCCUUGUCUACUAUCCAGCAAAACCACAGCCAAGGGAAUGGGUUUGGCAGAAUCAGCGAGGAAAAAAGACCUUGUUGAGCUUGACUCUAGUCCGACUCUGUGAAAUGACUUGAGAGGUGUAGUAUAAGUGCGAGCCUCACCGCGCAAGUGAAAUACCACUACUUUUAACGUUAUUUUACUUAUUUCGUGAAUCGGAGGCGGGGCACUGCCUGUGACACCCGAAAAUUUUAACCAGCUUAAAUUGAGAUCUCUCAUUAGUUACUCAUCGAUCUUGGAUAUUAUUAAAUGUGCUCAAGGUUAUUUUUAGAAAUUUAUUAAUGGUGAACUCCUCAAAUUAAGAGUCAGAUAUUCAAGUACGCGACAUGAUGAGUCCGAAAGUAUUUCCGGGGAAUGUUCUGGACUCCUAAGUUGGAUGUUAUCAUUUUC